CUAAGAAUAUUCCGCAAUGGACGAAAGUCUGACGGAGCGACGCCGCGUGGAUGAAGAAGGCCGCAAGGUUGUAAAAUCCUUUUGCUGGGGAAGAAUAAGCGCAGGAGGGAAUGCCUGCGUGAUGACAUGAACCGGCGAAUAAGCCCCGGCCAACUACGUGCCAGCAGCCGCGGUAACACGUAGGGGGCAAGCGUUGUUCGGAAUUACUGGGCGUAAAGGGCAUGUAGGCGGUUUAGUAAGCUUGGCGUGAAAGACCACGGCUUAACUGUGGGGUUGCGUUGAGAACUGCUGAACUUGAGUUACGGAGAGGGAGCUAGAAUUCCUGGUGUAGGGGUGGAAUCUGUAGAGAUCAGGAAGAAUACCGAUGGCGAAGGCAAGCUUCUGGCCGACAACUGACGCUGAGACGCGAAAGCGUGGGGAGCAAACA
rnacentral:rRNA from 1 species